rnacentral:rRNA from 1 species
CUACGGGUUGCUGCAGUCGAGAAUAGUCUACAAUGGACGAAAGUCUGAUAGUGCAACGCCGCGUGGGUGAAGAAGCAUUUCGGUGUGUAAAACCCUUUUCUUUGUGGGCAGUGCCGUUAUGGUUAAUAGCUAUAGCGGAGGGAUAUUAGCAGAGGAAUAAGCCACGGCUAACUCCGUGCCAGCAGCCGCGGUAACACGGGGGUGGCAAGCGUUGUCCGGAAUCACUAGGCGUAAAGGGCAAGUAGGCGGAGUAUCAAGUCAGAUGUUAAAGGCAUUGGCUCAACCAAUGUACGGCAUUUGAUACUGGUAUUCUAGAAUUUGGUAUGGGAAGACGGAAUUCCUGGUGUAGCGGUGGAAUGCGCAGAUAUCAGGAAGAACACCGGAGGCGAAGGCGGUCUUCUGGGCCAAAAUUGACGCUGAAUUGCGAAGGUGUGGGUAUCAAACAGGAUUAGAUACCCGCAUAGUC